CAAUAGCGUAUAUUAAUGUUGUUGCAGUUAAAAAGCUCGUAGUUGGAUUUCUGGUGGGAGCGGCCGGUCCGCCGUAAGGUGUGUACUUGGUUGUCUCCUGUCAUCCUUGUGGGAACUGCUCUGGCAUUAAGUUGUCGGGGUUAGGGAACACAUCGUUUACUGUGAAAAAAUUAGAGUGUUUAAAGCAGGCUUAUGCCGUUGAAUACAUUAGCAUGGAAUAUAAGAUAGGACUUUGGCGUCUAUUUUGUUGGUUUGCACACCAAGGUAAUGAUUAAUAGGGAUAGUUGGGGGUAUUCGUAUUUAAUUGUCAGAGGUGAAAUUCUUGGAUUUAUGAAAGACGAACUUCUGCGAAAGCAUUUACCAAAGAUGUUUUCAUUA
rnacentral:rRNA from 1 species